UUACUAGUAGUUCCUCGAAUGAGCAUCCUGUAGAUGACUGUAGCAGUCAAUCAAGUCAACUCAACUCUCUGUAGUUUCAUGUUUGUGGAUCUUGAAUUCUUUUUGGGAAUAUUUUCUUCUAUAUUCUAAAUUGGGAUUUAUGUUACUUUCUUUUUGAUCUGAGUUAGUUCUUCCUAUAAACUACUACCUUGCCUCCCUGUUAAUAAUAUUUCCGACAAUUACUUUCUUGUUUGACAACAAUCUUCCCAGUUCCUAGUCCGGCUUCAACAUCC
rnacentral:lncRNA from 1 species